UACGUAGGUGGCAAGCGUUGUCCGGAAUUAUUGGGCGUAAAGCGCGCGCAGGCGGUCCUUUAAGUCUGAUGUGAAAGCCCACGGCUCAACCGUGGAGGGUCAUUGGAAACUGGGGGACUUGAGUGCAGGAGAGAAGAGUGGAAUUCCACGUGUAGCGGUGAAAUGCGUAGAGAUGUGGAGGAACACCAGUGGCGAAAGCGGCUUCCUGGACCAGUACCGACGUUCAGGCACGAAAGCGUGGGGAGCAAACAGG
rnacentral:rRNA from 1 species